UACAGAGGGUGCGAGCGUUGUCCGGAAUCACUGGGCGUAAAGGGCGCGUAGGUGGCGCGACAAGUCAGUGGUGAAAGUUCGACGCUCAACGUCGAAUCGGCCACUGAUACUGUUGGGCUUGAGCACUGUAGAGGCUAAUGGAAUUCCGGGUGUAGCGGUGGAAUGCGUAGAGAUCCGGAAGAACACCGGUGGCGAAGGCGGCUCACUGGCUCAUUACUGACGCUCAGGCGCGAUAGCGUGGGGAUCAAACAGG
rnacentral:rRNA from 1 species